rnacentral:rRNA from 1 species
UACAGAGGUCCCAAGCGUUGUUCGGAUUUACUAGGCGUAAAGGGUGCGUAGGUGGUGAGGUAAGUCUGAUGUGAAAUCUCCGAGCUCAACUCGGAAAUGGCAUUGGAAACUACCUUGCUAGAGGGUUGGAGGGGGGACUGGAAUACUUGGUGUAGCAGUGAAAUGCGUAGAUAGUCAAGUGGAACACCAGUGGCGAAGGCGAGUCCCUGGACAACUCCUGACACUGAGGCACGAAAGCUAGGGGAGCAAACAGG